rnacentral:rRNA from 1 species
UACGUAGGGAGCAAGCGUUAUCCGGAAUUAUUGGGUGUAAAGGGUGCGUAGACGGGAGAGCAAGUUGGUUGUGAAAUCCCCAGGCUUAACUUGGGAACUGCAACUGAAACUACUUUUCUUGAGUGCAGGAGAGGAAAGCGGAAUUCCUAGUGUAGCGGUGAAAUGCGUAGAUAUUAGGAGGAACACCGGUGGCGAAGGCGGCUUUCUGGACUGUAACUGACGUUGAGGCACGAAAGUGUGGGGAGCAAAC